UACGUAGGGUGCAAGCGUUGUCCGGAAUUAUUGGGCGUAAAGAGCUCGUAGGCGGUCUGUCGCGUCGGCUGUGAAAACUCGGGGCUCAACCCCGAGCCUGCAGCCGAUACGGGCAGACUAGAGUUCGGUAGGGGAGACGUGGAAUUCCUGGUGUAGCGGUGAAAUGCGCAGAGUAUCAGGAGGAACACCGGUGGCGAAGGCGGGUCUCGUGGGCCGAUACUGACGCUGAGGAGCGAAAGCGUGGGGAGCGAACAGG
rnacentral:rRNA from 1 species